rnacentral:rRNA from 1 species
AGGAAUAUUGCACAAUGGGCGCAAGCCUGAUGCAGCGACGCCGCGUGGGUGAAGAAGGAUUUCGGUCUGUAAAGCCCUUUUCUGUGUGACGAGAGUGGACGGUAGCACAGGAAUAAGUCUCGGCUAACUACGUGCCAGCAGCCGCGGUAAAACGUAGGAGGCAAGCGUUAUCCGGAGUUACUGGGCGUAAAGCGCGUGCAGGUGGUUCAGUAAGUUGGUUAUGAAAGCUCCUGGCUAAACUGGGAGAGGUUGACCAAAACUGCUAGACUAGAGUGGAUGAGAGGUAAAUGGAAUUCCGCGUGUAGUGGUGAAAUGCGUAGAGAUGCGGAAGAACACCAGUGGCGAAGGCGAUUUACUGGCAUCCAACUGACACUCAGACGCGAAAGCAUGGGUAGCGAAC